rnacentral:lncRNA from 1 species
CUCUGUAAUUCUGGGCCGUGUUCCGGAAGCCUCGUAAGACAAAAGCGAACGAGAGGCGGAAAAAAGGAAGACGCUUCCUGAAGUUGGGGAUGCUGGACUAGUUUUCAUACUAGAUCCCCUCGUGGCAGCAUUAAGGAACUUCACAUUCUUCUCACACUAUUCAUGGAAAGUUCCUGGAACUCCCACAGCAGCAAGAAAACUUCGCUUGUAGGAGUCCUUAGCACAUCUGUAAAGUUUUAUUGGCCAAAAUGUGAUACAUCUCCAUUUCUGGAUCAGUCACUGUGGUCAAGUGCAAGACGCUCUACAGGACUCAACCUGGGGAUGAGGUCUGUCUACUCCAUCCAUAUGGUCACUUUAUACUGAGGUUGGUUUCUUUUAAAGGUUGAGCUGACAGUCACAUCAGGAUUUGAUAAGUCAGAGCAGUGCUGAUGUUAUUACAAGGGUUGCUGCUUUUUAAGAGAUGAAAAGAUCCAAGGUGUGACACAGAAUGGAUGACUGGAGUGGAAAAAAUGAAAAUGUCAUUGGAAUAUGGAAGUAAAGAAACUGAGAAGCUGAGAGUUUUUGCAUCAUCCAGUCAGGUAUGGAAAUCACCAAGGAUAAAGGAAGGAACUGGGUUAGAAUGGAAGACCUUUUGCCAGGAAUGGAAGACUUCAGUAAAUGAAGAGAUUUGACUAGGAUGUUGGCAGAAGAUAGUGAGAAGGUCUAAGAAAGGGUGGUAUAUCCAGAUGACAUAAACAUCAAAAGAACGGUGAUUUUUGCAGGAGGGAAGGGGUGAAAUAAUUUGAAAGUAGCAAUGGGAGAGAGCAAGGAAUGCACCUACCUCCAAUCCUGGCCCUGACAUUCUCUCAGGGACCAGAUAGGUUUCAACUAAGGUAAGGCAAGGAGAUGAUGGGAAAAUGAGGGAAAGGGGACUGGACUGCUGAACACAGAUGAGAGUCACAUGAAACACUAGAAGGGUUUAUUUAGGGAGGGGGAGAAGUGGAGAGAAUAACAGUUUGUGGAUUAUGAUUUUAUGAGAAAAAGAAGGACUUAGAGAGGCUGGAACUUCUGCAGAUUAGUGAGCUACACAGGGAUGUGAAGCAUGAUUGGCUUGAACCUGGUAGUCUCAUCUUGUCAUCCUCUUAGUGGUGUGUGCAGCCUAAGGCAUUAAAUUAUGGUGCAGCCUCUGGGCUAAUAGUUACUCUCUCAACAGUGGAGAGUUCUACAUAAUUUGCCAUAAUUAGAUACAUUACCUUAGAGAAAGUGCUAAACCCUUCAAAAUCCCAGUUGCUUAAUCUAUG